rnacentral:rRNA from 1 species
UACGGAGGGAGCUAGCGUUGUUCGGAAUUACUGGGCGUAAAGCGCACGUAGGCGGCUUUGUAAGUUAGAGGUGAAAGCCCGGAGCUCAACUCCGGAACUGCCUUUAAGACUGCAUCGCUUGAAUCCAGGAGAGGUGAGUGGAAUUCCGAGUGUAGAGGUGAAAUUCGUAGAUAUUCGGAAGAACACCAGUGGCGAAGGCGGCUCACUGGACUGGUAUUGACACUGAGGUGCGAAAGCGUGGGGAGCAAACAGG